UACAGAGGGGGCGAGCGUUGUUCGGAAUUACUGGGCGUAAAGGGCGCGUAGGCGGCCCGCUAAGUCGAACGUGAAAUCCCCAGGCUCAACCUGGGAACUGCGUCCGAUACUGGCAGGCUUGAAUCCGGGAGAGGGAUGUGAAAUUCCAGGUGUAGCGGUGAAAUGCGUAGAUAUCUGGAGGAACACCGGUGGCGAAGGCGGCAUCCUGGACCGGUAUUGACGCUGAGGCGCGAAAGCUAGGGGAGCAAACGGG
rnacentral:rRNA from 1 species